UGGGGAAUUUUGGACAAUGGGCGAAAGCCUGAUCCAGCAAUGCCGCGUGUGUGAAGAAGGCCUUCGGGUUGUAAAGCACUUUUGUCUGGAAAGAAAUCCUUGGCUCUAAUACAGUCGGGGGAUGACGGUACCGGAAGAAUAAGCACCGGCUAACUACGUGCCAGCAGCCGCGGUAAUACGUAGGGUGCAAGCGUUAAUCGGAAUUACUGGGCGUAAAGCGUGCGCAGGCGGUUUGCUAAGACCGAUGUGAAAUCCCCGGGCUCAACCUGGGAACUGCAUUGGUGACUGGCAGGCUAGAGUAUGGCAGAGGGGGGUAGAAUUCCACGUGUAGCAGGUGAAAUGGUGUAGAGAUGUGGAGGAAUACCGAUGGCGAAGGCAGCCCCCUGGGCCAAUACUGACGCUCAUGCACGAAAGCGUGGGGAGCAAACAGGAUUAGAUACCCUGGUAGUCCACGCCCUAAACGAUGUCAACUAGUUGUUGGGGGAUUCAUUUCCUUAGUAACGUAGCUAACGCGUGAAGUUGACCGCCUGGGGAGUACGGUCGCAAGAUUAAAACUCAAAU
rnacentral:rRNA from 1 species